UGAAGGUCUGGUGAUCCAAUGUUUUAGCCAAUCAUUACAUAAUCAACUUUCCAAGUCGUUAGGAAAUAAAGUUCGUAACGGUGUACAUCCGAGGACCAUUUGCUAUCUAAAAUACAGUUGAAACGUUCUAUUACGUUUAGGUCUUGUUUAUCAAUAUUGUAAUGGGACGCCUGUCAUUUCGUUGUGUUCUUAAAGUGUGUGUCAUCCGAAUCGAAUAUCUAUGAGCAAAUGCUAUUUUCUAGCAAGUCAAACGUUUAGUAGAUCGAUAAAAGCUAUGUGGGGAUAAACUUUUCAAAAAUCUGGACUGUCAGAAGAUAUAAUUUUUUCUGUGUGUAAUAAAGCAUAUCACUCAUAAGGUGAUCGACAUCUCGAAAUUUUGAUGUGCCGAUUCGAUUGCUCGAUUAAGGUCGGUCCUUCGGAUGAGACCGCAAAAACCGAGGUCCCGUGUCACAGCAGGUAUGGCACGAUAAAGAUCCCUCCCUGCUCAAAGACCAUAAGCGACGAGCAUACGCCUAAAUUUUGCAGCCCUUCACCGGCAGUGGUGACGUCUCCAUAUGAGUGAAAUAUUCUCGAGAUGGACGUUAAACAAUAUUCAAUCAAUCAAUAUUAACAGGUCAAAACUAUAUGAAAAUUUAAUUGUGAUGUACCAGAAACAACUAGUGUCACAAAGGCCUGCAAGAGUCCACAGCCGAGGAAAAGCUCUCCCAGGAGGUGCAGAUUGGGGGAUCUGGGCGUGGUCUUGUUUGGCUAAGAUCACAUGACCAGCCACCACCGAUCCUACAAUAGACGUGAUUCAGUGAAUAAUUUUCUUAUGUCGUCAGUAUUGGUUAUUUGACGAACAAAGGAGGUAACAAGAAAACAUAGAACUAUGUUUCUGAGAACACCCGAUUGUUUGUUUCACGUCCCGUCCAGAAAUUCUUUCACUCAUUUUGAGAUGUCACCAGUUGCAGGUGAAGUAACACUUUAGACCUGUGCCAUCCAAACGGAACAGCGUUGCAGAAAAUAAAAUUCUGUGUCGAUAGAGACAAAAAAAAUGAUGGAAGUAACAGGGAAUAAUUGGAAGAUAUCCCAAUCGUCGAUUUACAAAUGGCAUAAACAGUUUUCCGAUGGUAUGUUCAGUUUUGGAGAUGUGGAAGACCACUGGUAUGAACAUGUAAUGAAAAUACAAAAUCUCGUAUUCUUGACGUUAUUAUGCAAGUCAAGACGUUUUGCGGUGAGAGAAUUCGGAUCUAUUUGUGAAAUUGUCUAUUAACAAUGAUAGCUUUCAUUCAUAUGUCGAUUUGAUAUAUCCCUGUGAGCUCGAAAUAAAGGACACCACAGAGUCGUCCACUUCUGCUUCAUACUUAGAUAUUUUAUUGAAAGUAGACAUUAACGGCAAACUGACAACUCAACUGUAUGACAAACGGGAUGAUUUCAGCUUCUCCAUCGUCAACUUCCCACAUUUAUGUAGCAAUAUUCCAUUAUCACCUGCAUAUGGUGUUUAUAUAUCUCAACUGAUUCGAUAUGCAAGAGAUUGUUCUGGGUAUAGUCAUUUUUUAAAUCGAGGUAAGCUACUGACAAACAAGUUGAUGGUACAGGGAUUUCAACAGUCUCGAUUGAAGUCAGCAUUUCGCAAAUUCUAUGGUCGUUAUAACGAUCUAGUUCGUCAACCUCGCAUUGGAUCAAAUGCUGUCUGACGUGUUUCAUACCGAUUGUUAAGCUGUUCUUGGCACACUGAUUUUGACUGCGGAUAACUCCGUUUACCUGAUCAGGAUAUGGGGGUCACGGCGGGUGUGACCGGUCAACAGGGGAUGCUUACUCCUCCAAGGCACCUGAUCCCACCUCUGAUGUGUCCAGGGGUCCGUGUUUGCCCAACUGUCUAUUUUGUAUUGCUUGUAGGAGUUAUGAGAUUGAUCACUGUUCGUUAUCUUCACCUUGCAUUAGAAAAUCAAAGGUUCUAGAUAUCUUCACCGAGGACAGUAAAUGGUAUUCUUGUGUAUUUGACUCGUGUUUACGGAGAUAUGAGAAGUUUUUGCAGGUGACUACAUCAACAAAUGUAGGAUACUUACAACCGCAACGUUACAGAAACGCCAGAGUGGCUCGACAUCGGACUGUGGUGUGCGGCUUGUAUAUACAAGAUAUUUAUGCUGAAGACGCACUUACACUAUUGUAUAUUUGCAUAAAAUGUUCUACAUUAAAAUACUAUUACACACAA